GACGGAGGAUGCAAGCGUUAUCCGGAAUGAUUGGGCGUAAAGCGUCCGCAGGUGGCAGUUCAAGUCUGCUGCCAAAGACCGGGGCUUAACUUCGGAAAGGCAGUGGAAACUGGACAGCUAGAGUAUGGUAGGGGCAGAGGGAAUUCCUGGUGUAGCGGUGAAAUGCGUAGAGAUCAGGAAGAACAUCGGUGGCGAAGGCGCUCUGCUGGACCAUAACUGACACUCAGGGACGAAAGCUAGGGGAGCGAAUGGG
rnacentral:rRNA from 1 species